UACGUAGGGUGCAAGCGUUGUCCGGAAUUAUUGGGCGUAAAGGGCUCGUAGGCGGUCCAUCGCGUCGGGAGUGAAAAGCUGGGGCUUAACCCCAGUCCUGCUUCCGAUACGGGUGGACUAGAGGUAGGUAGGGGAGAACGGAAUUCCUGGUGUAGCGGUGAAAUGCGCAGAUAUCAGGAGGAACACCGGUGGCGAAGGCAGCCCCCUGGGCUAACACUGACGCUCAUGCACGAAAGCGUGGGGAGCAAACAGG
rnacentral:rRNA from 1 species